rnacentral:lncRNA from 1 species
AAGUAAGAGAGUUGUUUUUUUAUUAGGUCCAAUGACUCUUAGUUGCUACAGAAACUUUGUCUGGGGAAAAAUAUAUAUAUAUAUAUGAGAUAGUAUGUAUAUAUAUAUACGAGGCAAUAGGAGACCCUGGAGUUACGUAGGACAGCCCAGUGGUAGUUGCCAUUUGCUUAGAGUUUUAUCCAGCUUCCCCUGAGCUAAACCAGAGUGUGAUGUGGCCUGUGCCAAAACACUCACAGCAUGAAUGGGAGCAGCGAGAGAAAGCUGUUGGUUUUUUUUGUUUGUUGGUUUGUUUAUUUGUUUGUUUUUCAGAGCUAUGGCAUGAGGUUUGCUCUGAGGUUUCUGUUUGAAGAGAAAGGCGGUGCCUGGCCCAGGGAGCCAGCCUGCUUUUGGGGGGUCGGUGGUGACGCUCCCCAUCUCACCACUCUGCAAGUGACAUUCUCUGAGGAGAAAGAGCCAGCUGUCCUUUGGUACUUGUGGAGAGCUGAAUUCAACUGUGGAAGAAGUGAGAGAGAUAAUGAAGCAUCUGUGGGUUAAAGACAGAGAUUGGCAGGGAAUUCGGGGAUCGGUUCCCCUUUUAUUGGUAUGUAUUUCCACAGGGAACGGAGCUUUUAGAAGGAUACGGGUUGUUUUCUCCAAUCUGUAAAUCAGACAAAAACAAUCUCAGCAGAUCAUUGCUUAAAAUUUCUCUUUCUUUUGACUCGCUGUAGAAAUCAGAAAAAUAGAAAGCAGUUUAUGCUUUCAUCUCUUUGAGGUUUUUCCCCACAAGCGCCCCCCUCUUCUGCAAGCUUUUGGGAAUUUUCUCUUUAGCGAACCCAUCAAAUCCCUCCGUUUUGGACUGCUGUCUCCUUUCCUCCCCAGGACUGUGCCAUGCAUUUUCUGGAGGAGCAGAGGCGAGGCAGUCGGCAGUCAGCCUUCUGGCAUUUUAGAAAAAUCAAUGGCACCUGUCAGCAGAGCUGCCUGGGACUGACAGCAGAAAUAACAGAGAGCAGCUCCCAGCUCCGCGGACUCCAAAGUGCUCCUUCUCCGUGAUUAAAAGGCAGAGCUCUCCUGUUUUCCCAUGUAGCACUUUUAAUUACUUGGGCUCUCCUCUACAGAUCUGUGACACACCGUGUCAUUAGACAAAUAUUGUUCAUUAUUAUACCAAACGUGAUGAACCCGUAUGAUCACUUCACAGAAAUGCAGCUCUUUUUUCUCCCUUUUGUGCCGUCUGCCUAAUGUGAAACCAAAAC